rnacentral:rRNA from 1 species
CUCGUAGGUGGCCAACUAAGUCAGACGUGAAAUCCCUCGGCUUAACCGGGGAACUGCGUCUGAUACUGGAUGGCUUGAGUUUGGGAGAGGGACGCGGAAUUCCAGGUGUAGCGGUGAAAUGCGUAGAUAUCUGGAGGAACACCGGUGGCGAAGGCGGCGUCCUGGACCAACACUGACACUGAUGAGCGAAAGCCAGGGGAGCAAAACGG